rnacentral:tRNA from 1 species
GCGCCUGUAGCUCAACUGGACAGAGCACUUGACUUCGGAUCAAGGGGUUGUGGGUUCAAAUCCUGCCAGGCGCG